rnacentral:rRNA from 1 species
UACGUAGGGUGCAAGCGUUGUCCGGAAUUAUUGGGCGUAAAGAGCUCGUAGGCGGUCUGUCGCGUCGGAUGUGAAAAUCCAGGGCUCAACCCUGGACCUGCAUUCGAUACGGGCAGACUAGAGUUCGGCAGGGGAGACUGGAAUUCCUGGUGUAGCGGUGAAAUGCGUAGAUAUCAGGAGGAACACCGGUGGCGAAGGCGGCUAUCUGGACAGAAACUGACGCUGGAGGCGCGAAAGCUAGGGGAGCAAACAGG